rnacentral:lncRNA from 1 species
CUACUGGCCCGGGAUGUUCCCAUGUUCAAGGGAAGGAGGGAGGAGUCCCCAAAACACUGAUCUGCACUGAACACACAGACAAUGGCCAGACCAUAUGGGAAAACAGACCUCGGACAUCCACAGCCUGCAGAAACCCGCCCAGGAAAUCACCUCCUCAAAUACAGUAAACCACCCAGGUAAUCCAUAGGUCCCGUUUGUAACAAGUCAGACUAUGUCUAGGAACAAUUCAGAAAGCUAACCACUAACUUCUAGAAUAGUUGGCUCAAAAUGGCCAGAACUGACAACUUCCCUAACUUUUGUCCACUGUGCAACUUAGGACCAGCCAGAGAGUCAAAUAUGCACCCCCAACCAGUCAUACAGGAUGCCUGGCUUCUAGUCACCUGCCUUCCAGCUUCCCCACGCCAACAGCCUCCAGAGAAGGCACCAGGUACCUGAAUCUUUCCCAUUUCUCUGCUAUAAAUAAAGCUUUACCACCCCUCCACCUACCCUGGAGUCUCUUUUAAAAUGCAAGUGACCAUGGCUGACUGACUUCCCUUGCUGUAGCAAGCUCUUGAAUCAAUAGCCUUUGCUUUUCUCACUUGUUCGGGCUUCGUUUAUUGGCCCAGGAAUGGCAGCUCAGGGAGCGAGGCGAGGACGGGCCUCAUCAGUACCCUUGGUCCCACUGGGGUGGAGCUCAGAGCCCUCAGACGACAGAGUUGCUGGCUGGUCCGCUGGAAACACUGAUCAGACCUUUGGACUCAGCUGAGCCAGGGCUGGAGAUGCCAAAUUGACUCAGAUUAAAUCCCCCGGGCAUAAAAUCACAAAAGAGUUUUUGUUAGAUGCUGAUUGGGAAGGAGGGGCCCCAGAGAUCUGGGAAAAGGGUAGGACAUCUGGGAAUAGAGAAAUGAGGGAGAGGCAGGAACUUUGCCUAGAGCGGGAGCCAAGGAUGGCCUGGAGCUACUUUGAUGGGAUGGAGAGUUGAGUCACGAUUCAUAUCUGAUCUCCAAGAUUCUUUAGUCAAUGCAGAGACAUUUACUGAGUGCCCCCUUCUGGGCACUAGAGGUGGGACACGCAAGGCCUCUGACUUCCCGGAGCUCGUGUCCUGGUGGCAGGGGCGGUAGAUGGCUACAGAAGUCAGACAGCUUCAGAAGAGUAAGCGCACUGAGGAAAAUGAAAUGGGAUGGUGCCCUCGAGAAGGAGUGCCGAGAGCGGGGAACACACGAGAGUGGCUGGGGAGGGACACCAGAAGGAACCAGCACUGCAGCCAACAGGGGAAAUGGUUUUCCUAGCAGAGGGAGCAGCUUAAGCAAAGACCCUGAGCUGAGACCUGGGUGUGACAGAAAGGUCGGUGUGGCCAGAGCUGUGUGGGCAGAGGGUGAUCGUGGCUGGAGGGGACCAGGAGGGACGUUCAGGGACACCACGAGUAGAGGGCCUCCCAAGCCAUUCUAAGAGUUUAGAUUUUAUUUGGGCCUCAGUAUAACGGAGUUUUUGAAAGAAGGCACUGAACAGCUUGCUUGCUUAAGCUGCUCCAUCAAGGCCUUAGAAGCUCUCCUUUGUUGAAAUCUUGUCAAAUCCUGGCAGGCAGGGGAAGUGUGUAUGUGGGGUAACAGUGUUAAGGAGAGAAAAUGUGGAUCAGACCCAGACACGUCACAACCAGAAUUCCUUGCUGAGUAGGAUCAAAAGGGCCACAAGAGUGUGUUAUAAUCCCCUGAAAUUGCACACUAAUUUGUGUGUGUGUGUGUGUAUAUACCCUAUUUCAGUGAGUUUUUUCAAACUCUCAGAGGAAUCUCUGCCACCAGAAAAAGCCAGAAAGGGAGAAUAUUAACUUCUAUGCUAGCAUACCCAUGCACCAUCCCAGUAAGGACACAGAUACUGCCCCGAGGAGGGGAAGGGGGGGCGGGGCAGGACAGGGAACUUUCCACUGUGUACCAUGUGCUUUACCUAUUUUUAAAAGUCCACUUCAGUGUAAAGGACUGAAGCUGGAGAGGAAUGGAUGGGUGGGGAAGAAGGUGCCGAAGCCUUGGUGUGGCCAGGGAGGGGCAGCAACACAUAUCUGCUGGUCCUAACUUGACGGCCCCACCCCUAGCCUGUGCUCACAUGCCUUGCACUGGAGAACCCCGCCCAGAGAGGCCGCACUGGCCCUGAGCCUGCCCAGAGCUCAGCUGCCCAGGGGGCACCAGCCUCACUGCCCCGGGAGAGGGACAGGAACAGAUGCCCUCUGCUCAAGUCACCAAACUCUGCUCAGGUCACUGUCCUCUGCCCAUGUCCCGGGCCCCUCUGGUCCCCAAACCUUCACAGAGAGAAGCCCGAGCCUCCUGAACACCCUGCUGACCCCACCAGGAGCUCCUGGCUCUGAUCUGAACCCGCCUCUUUUCCCAGCCUCUUGGUUGGUCAUUUUGCUUUGAGUCAAGUCCCCCUUGCUCUGCUUUCGUGUGGUGCCGUGCCCAGCCCCAGCCUGGCAGAUGGGAGCUGAGAUGGGGGUGUUUUCUCUAAUUCUCUCCAACAUCUCGGCUUGGAUUUGCUUCGCCUCCCCAAAAAUAGGUCUGGCCCAGCCUUCAGGACCCACCUGUUCUCAGCGAUCAGCCAGUGGGCAGGGACCAGCCUCCCUGGGGUGUUCACUUCUUUGGUGAUUCAGGGCCACGGGUCAGAGAGCAGAGUCAGCCGCUGAUGACAUUUCCCUGCCAGGAUGCAGAGCAGGUGAGGGCCUCCUGGUCCACCCUUGGAGAAGGGACCAAGGAGGUUCUAUGCAAGUCAGUUAAACCACAGAGCAGACCUUGCAACACCUUCCUCCUGAGGCCUUGGGACCAGACGGGGGUAUGCAGGCAGACACCUACACUUGCAUAGCCAAACAAUUCUACGGCCCAUUCUUCUAACUCUAGAAUAAGUGCAUAAUAACACCAACCGAUAUUUGUGGGGACUUACUGUGGCCAGGCGCUAUUCAGUUAAAGACUUUAUGUGUAUCACCUCAUUACGGGGUGCCUGGGGGCUCAGUCAGUUAAACGUCUGACUUCGGCUCAGGUCAUGAUCUCCCAGUUCACAAGUUCAAGCCCUGCAUCAGGCUCUGUGCUGACAGCCCAGAGCCUGGAGCCUGCUUUGGAUUCUGUGCCUCCCUCUCUAUCUCUGUCCCUCCCUUGCUAGUAUUCUGUCUCUCUCUCUCUCAAAAAUAAAUAAAAACAUUAAAAAAAAACAAAACUCGGGGCGCCUGGGUGGCGCAGUCGGUUAAGCGUCCGACUUCAGCCAGGUCACGAUCUCGCGGUCCGUGAGUUCGAGCCCCGCGUCGGGCUCUGGGCUGAUGGCUCGGAGCCUGGAGCCUGUUUCCGAUUCUGUGUCUCCCUCUCUCUCUGCCCCUCCCCCGUUCACGCUCUGUCUCUCUCUGUCCCAAAAAUAAAUAAAACGUUGAAAAAAAAAAAAAAAAAAACACAACACCAUAGGCAGUGGCAUAGGGAUGUCCCCUUUGCACACAGGGAGCUGGGAUGUGAACCCGGGCAGGCUGGGAAUACUGUGCCUGUAGCGCUCAUGAAUGAAAACAAAGGGAUCUGCAGAAGGGCCCCACAACCUUGCACAAAUGGGAUCCGAUCUGUGGCCCAGUCACCAGAGGACAAAAGCAUGGGUCCUGACUGUUCCACACACUGAGUGUGCAAUGCGGCUCAUUCCAGCCUGGAGUAAGAGUCCCUGGAUCCCCCACCACUCUGCACUCCAGGAACCUGUGGCCCAGGGCAGCUCAAGACCUCCUGGACCCUUUCUUUUGUAACAUAAGGAGACAGCCUACACUGCUUCACCCCUCCCAGUGCCAAAAGGCCACUUAUCACUUAGGGUGACUGUACUUAAGCCCCCACUACCCCCCCCCCCCGCAGGGAAUCCAGGCUGAGCCCACCACGCCUUCUCCCUGCCCCUGCCCUAAGUGCUGGGCCAGAAGGUGGGAGACCCCAGUCUCGGCUCCCGCUUGGUGGAAUGUUUGGCACCUCCUGCCUCGUUUUUCUCAUCUGAUGCAUGGCUGGAAUGUCCUCCAGUGCACCCCCACUUUACAAGGUUUGGGGGAAGAUCAGAUGAGAGGAUGAAUCUGAAGACCCUAUAGGGACUGGGAGGCCCUGGGCCUGGUGAAGAGUUUGGGCCCGUGGUGUGUCUCUGAACCCCCACGUGCUGGUGUCUCCCCGCCUCUGGAGCGGGACGGGAUCUGCAGGGAGAGGACGGUGGCUGGUACUGGGCCUAACUGCCCCUCCAUCACCUGACUGUCCAGCUGCCCCCUAUGGCAGCGGACCCUGCCCAGGGGUGAAGGAACAGGGACGGGAGGAGAGCGGCCAGCCACAGCCGGAGCAGGAAAGCUGGGGAGCCAGGCUGGAGUCCCAUAUGGAACAGGAGGCCGCUGAGUAGGGACCACCACACUUCCCAGCCCCGGGAAGGGCAGGGGUCACUGGAGAGCCCAGGAAAUCCCAUCAGGAAUAGUGGCGCACCUGUGUGUUUGCCAGAGGUGACCUGGGCCCGUGGCCACAGGCGCUGGGUCACCUCUUGCUGCAGCAAAGCCUCAGUCUGGUUCUGACUUUUGGUCCUCAGUGUGUUCUGUCUCCCCUAUUGUUCUGGGGCACCUGCUGGACUUGUGCACCCCUUCUUUCCCCCGAGAGUUUUUCGGCUACUCUUGGGGCUUGCUCACCCUGUAUGGCAAAUAUUUCCUUCCUGGUUUAUGUCUCCGGCUCUUCUGGGCUUAUAAUGGCUCAGUGGACAUUUCUGCCUAGAAAUGUCUGGAUUUUGCUGAAGUUUCCCCUCAGCAUACACCACACACAAGAGGUGACUGAGAUUUUUAUCACGCAGUCCUCAACACCAGGUCCUGCAGGGGAAACCAAGAAGUAUGAGGCAAAGCCCCUGCCCUGGGCAAUUCAUAAUCUAGUUUUUUGGGGUUUUUAAAAUAAUCUAGUUAUUCAAAAGUGAGAGGUGCCUGGGUGGCUCAGUUGGUUAAGCAUCCAACUUCGCCUCAGGUCAUGAUCUCAGGGUUCGUGAGUUUGAGCCCCGCGUCGGGCUCUGUGCUGACAGCUCAGAGCCUGGAGCCUGCUUCAGAUUCUGUCUCCCUCUCUCUCUGCCCCUCCCCCACUCAGGCUCUGUUUCUGUCUCUAAAAAAUGAAUAAACCUUAAAAAAAAUUUUUUUAAUAAAGGACUAGGCAAAAUGCCUCUAAAGUUCCACACUGUUCUAGGGUGAGGAGAGAAAGGCUUAAAGAGGACUCUAGGAUUUUGAACAACAGGUGAGAAGUCAGGAGAGGAAGCAGGUUCGGGGAGAAGACUUCAUUCAGUUUUAAGUAAACCGAGUGGACCUCAUCACGACCCUUCCUUCCCCCAGGUUCCAGGUGCCACUGCCACAGACUGACCUGGUGUGUCCCCGCCGGCUCCUCCGCCACGUCCCUCCUCUGGGCGUGUGACCCUGGCUGCGGCAAGGUCAGAGCAAGAAAGACGGACUGACCUUUGCUCCAGGAUAUUUGUCAGCUUCUCUCAGUGAAUAAACAGCUUUGCCGUCACCAACACAGUCUUUCUGGAAACUCAGCUGGCGCUGCUGAGUGCCCAAAGGUGAGGGUGGGAUCCCCGAAAUUGACAAUUGAGUUUCCAUCGCCCUAGGGUCAGGAAAGCUUGAAACAAAUUAUUGAGAAAGAAAUUGAAAUGUGGUUCCUUCAGACCUGUGUUCCAGCACCCAGAUUAGGACCCGGUUCACAGGCAAACCUCCCCAUGAGUGGUUUAGAUGAGGGGCCUCAUGCCCGGGCGUGCACCCAUCACCCAUGGAGCUCAGGAACGAGAUCACCUAGACUGGGGACCCGGCACCUGUAAUUUAAUAAUCCCCACGGGUGAUCGGCAGGCACACCUGAGUGACAGGCCCCCUUGGCCUGGAGAGGACUGCCAUGGCCAGAGGGUUGGGCCAGGGAGAGACAUGGACAGAGAUGGUCCUGGGACACCAGGAGUUCCCUCAGAGAGACUGAGCUGGGGCUUGGCAGGUGGAUGUUCCGAGCACAGAGGGGAGGGAGAGCAGAGGGCCUUCUAGCACAGGCCCUGGCUGAGGGGCUCAGCCUGUUUGGGGUGGGGGUGAAGUUGGAGAGGCUAGCUGUGGCCACAGGGCAAGGCUCUGAAUGCCAAGCUCAGAGCCAGGUAGAUACUGACGCUGCCAAGAGCAGGGAAGGCUGUGAGCAGAGAAGGGAGACCCUCUCCAGUACCGGUGGGCCCUUGUUUGUGCAUUCAGGGCUUUUGAGGCCCCUGAAUGAGCCAAGGCCUGUGGUCAGAGGGCAAGCCCACACUUCCUCCUGCCUCAGCUCGCCUUUCCUUCACAUCAUGCCCCAACUCUUCUAUUUCUGACUUCAAGUCCUUGGCAUGUACGAAAUUCUUGCCUCUCCUUUGGCAGCCCUGCCUGCCUCUGUACCCUUAUUCUUACCCUUUUAUGUCUGCCUUUCUUAGGCCUUCAGCACAGUCUGUCCAGAUUAAUUUGACACCAAACUGGCUUUCUCCAGAAAGGCAGGGAAAGUUCUAGGCACAAGAGUGAGAUUCAUGUGGGGAGAAUUACCGUGGCCCCUUCUUUAAGGCAGUUAGAGUCCUGUGUGUCCAGUAACAACCCAUGAAGAAAGAAGCUAUAUUCUUGAUGCACAGGUAGUAGAAAUGACUUGCUCACAUUCUGGCCCAGAGACUCUGGCUCUGCUCUGUAACAGUGAAAGUGACACCUUCCUCAAACCGUGACUAGGACCCACAUUGCUUCCAGAACCUGCUCUCUCUGUAUACCUCUGCUCUGGUGGGAAAAUUCUUUUUUUUUUUUUUUUUUAAUUUUUAAAAUGUUUUUAUUUUUGAGAGACAGAGAGAGAGCACAAGUGGGAGAAGAGCAGAGAGAGAGGGAGACACAGAAUCCAAAGCAGGCUCCAGGCUCUGAGCUGUCAGCACAGAGCCCGACACGGGGCUUGAACCCACAAGGCAUAAGAUCAUGACCAGAGCCAAAGUUGGACACUUAACUGACUGAGCCACCCAGGCGCCCCAUCUGAUGGGAAAAUUCUUAAUUUACUUGUACAAUUAGGUGAGGGGUUGGAAAUUGGGCCCAUUUAUCACAUGGACUUUUAUUCUCUCGUAGAAGCCUCUUUGGGCUGAGAAGAUAUGUGUCUGUCACCCUCCUUACUUGGGAAAAUGCACUGUGUCCUGCUCUGAAUUCACAUCUGUAGUUGAUCUUGGAACUGGUCACAGUACUAUGUGUGGCCAGUACAUGAAGUGCACUCCCAGACCCAAGACCGAAACAAUAGGUUGCUGUGUUUUCUCAGAGUGCUUGGAGUCCUCGAGCCUCAUCCCCACUACCACUAGCCAGUGCUUGUCCUUCUUUCUGUGACCUGGCCCAUCUUCCCAAGGCACCUUUCCCAUCAGCUCCUGCUGAACCCAAGCCAGUCCACAGCACCACACACUGUGGUCCCAGAGCCCCAGGGCGACAAGGAGUCCGCCAAGCUGGGAAGACAUCACAGAACUCAGUCCUGGUGGCACACGUCUGGUGCCAGAUUUCUUAGGAAGAAAAUCAGCUUCUGCCCAGACAGCAACAUAACUUUUUCCCCCAAUCCCUGGCACAGAGGCCGGGCCACGAUCGCCAACCUGCCGUGAGAACACAGGAAUAUGUCCACUCUGUCACCGGCAAGUCCUGGCAGAGUCUUGCUGUGUUCUGAGACAGCACCCUCAGUGGAGAACUCCGGGCAUCAUGUCGAGGCAGCUUGAAGUCUUCACUGGAGCCAGAGUCUUGAUCUAUGUGGCCCAUCAACUAAAAAAAAAGUUUGAACAGCAUCAUUAACCUAACACGACUUACUUUUCCAUAGGACUCUAAGCUUUCACAUGCAUGCUGUCAUUUUUAUUUUGGUUUUCACAGUGGCCUGUGAAGUAGGUAAGCUGGAUACUGUCGUUAGUCGACGUUCAGAGGUGACAGAGCAGCAGCUUAGCGUGUCUCAGGCCACACGACCCCCAAAUGGCAGAACCGGGACUGGAGUCUGGAUCAGCACCGUCCCCUGACGGUUAACCUCUUCGGGACCCAGUGCCAAGUCUCCCCAGCUUGCAGCAGCAGCGACCGCACGGACCACCAUGGGCUCCCAGGCCCCGCCAGCUGCAAGGGCACGCAGACACUGAUGAAUGUUCUCGAAGAUCCUAAAGACAAGGCUGAGCGGAAGCUUGCAUCAGAGGGACAGGUCCUGGCCAAUUGUUCCCCAUCCCUGGUGACAGGUACCAUCUUAUUAAAUCUGUAAAUCGGUUGUGCUGAGACUAUAACAGAGGAUAUCGUCUGAGGAACCUUCCAAUUUAGCAGACAAUGAGUAUCCGCAAACAUUUUGGGGGCCUGAUCCAGAAGCUCUAGCUUAUGGCCAUGUCUUCCAAACACAUAUGGAAGAAGAUACGCACAUGGGUCCAAACCACUUAGCACAGUUGUCAAAGGACUGAUGAUACUGUAAACUUAAUGGCUGCCAAGGUUAUGUCCAAUCAAUUCAUUCAGUUCCAUAAAG